CAGGACGUCAUAGAGGGUGAGAAUCCCGUAUGUGAUGGGUUGCGCGAGCCAUGUGAAACUCCUUCGACGAGUCGAGUUGUUUGGGAAUGCAGCUCUAAAUGGGAGGUAAAUUUCUUCUAAAGCUAAAUACCGGCCAGAGACCGAUAGCGCACAAGUAGAGUGAUCGAAAGAUGAAAAGCACUUUGGAAAGAGAGUUAAAAAGUACGUGAAAUUGUUGAAAGGGAAGCGCUUGCAACCAGACUUGCUCGCAGUUGCUCAACCCGCCUCCUGGUGGGUGUACUCUUCUGCGGUCAGGCCAGCAUCAGUUCGAGCGGUCGGAUAAAGGCGCCGGGAAUGUAGCUCCUCUCGGGGAGUGUUAUAGCCCGGCGUGGAAUGCGACCUGCUCGGACUGAGGAUCUCGCUUCGGCUAGGAUGCUGGCGUAAUGGUUGUAAGCGGCCCGUCUUGAAACACGGACCAAGGAGUCUAACAUCUAUGCGAGUGUUUGGGUGUCAAACCCAUGCGCGUAAUGAAAGUGAACGGAGGUGGGAACCCGCAAGGGCGCACCAUCGACCGAUCCUGAUGUCUUCGGAUGGAUUUGAGUAUGAGCAUAGCUGUUGGGACCCGAAAGAUGGUGAACUAUGCCUGAAUAGGGUGAAGUCAGAGGAAACUCUGAUGGAGGCUCGCAGCGGUUCUGACGUGCAAAUCGAUCGUCAAAUUUGGGUAUA
rnacentral:rRNA from 1 species